GGCCCGUGGGAGGCAGGGCCGCUACUGGCCAGUGGACACAGCGGGCGCUGCCGCUCGCCCGCCCGGACCUGAGGCGCAAGCAGAACAGCCACACCGGGAAAAUGCUGCCAGCUAUUCCCAGACAGACGUUUCCAAUGGCCGUUACUUGGCAGGAAAGCCUUUCCAAGAAUGCUACGGAGACCAAGAAUCAUAAAGGCAAGGUGCCAGGGUCCUUCAACAGCAAGAGGGCUGUCAUCCUCUGGAAAAGCUGAAAGUCAGGCACGCCAAGAGAGUGUGAUGUCUUGCAUUGGGAGAAGAAUGGCUCUGGGUCGCCCCAGGUGGAGCAGGUGUGAGGCCCCAAGCAAUCCCGGCAGGCCAGCCAGCCCCAGCCAGGAACCUUGACCUGCACCUAGGACACACGCCACUGCAGACAGACAGACUCUACGUGUGUGGCCACAGGGACACAACAUGCACCCUGAUCAAUUGCUCAUAAAUAAUGUUAUUGCUCAUAAUAAUC
ensembl:lncRNA